rnacentral:rRNA from 1 species
ACACGUAGGGGCCUGACGUUGUUCGGAAUCAUUGGGCGUAAAGGGCGCGCAGGCGGCCGUCCAAGUCCGGUGUUAAAUGGUCGGGCUCAACCCGAUCAUGCGCUGGAAACUGGGCGGCUUGAGUCCCGUAGGGGAUGCCGGAAUUCCAGGUGUAGGGGGGAAAUCUGUAGAUAUCUGGAAGAACACCGAUGGCGAAGGCAGGCAUCUGGCCGGAGACUGACGCUGAGGCGCGAAGGCGCGGGGAGCGAACAGGUUUAGAUACCCUGGUAGUCCGCGCAGUAAACGAUGCGCACCAGGUGUCGGGCGGCAGCGCCCGGUACCGGAGCUAACGCGAUGAGUGCGCCGCCUGGGGAGUAUGCCCGCAAGGGUGAAACUCAAAUGAAUUGACGGGG